UACGUAGGGGGCUAGCGUUGUCCGGAUUUAUUGGGCGUAAAGAGCUCGUAGGUGGUUCGGUAAGUCGGAUGUGAAAUCUCCAGGCUCAACCUGGAGGGGUCAUUCGAUACUGCCGUGACUAGAGUUCGGUAGAGGAGUGUGGAAUUCCUGGUGGAGCGGUGAAAUGCGCAGAGAUCAGGAGGAACACCCGUAGCGAAGGCGGCACUCUGGGCCGAUACUGACACUGAGGGGCGAAAGCGUGGGGAGCGAACAGG
rnacentral:rRNA from 1 species